rnacentral:snRNA from 1 species
AUAUUUCCCUGACAGAGGUGAUUCCAUGUUCAUGAAUGUUUUCCCAGAGUGAGGCUCAUCCGUUGUACACCAGAUGUGCUGGCCCCUAAGUUUUCUCCAAAUGAGGGAAACUUGGUUACAUAAUUUGUGAUAGUGAAGGACUGUUUGUGCUUUUC